ensembl:lncRNA
GUGCAAUGAGGUCUGAGCUGCUCUGGAGAAUGAAACAGCUGAAGUGAAACCUGAAGCAACUGGUUGAAAACUUCACCAUUAAGAGGGGCAGUGGAUCUACGUUACCACCCAUGUGCAUCAUUCCUUGUGAAUUGCGUGCACAUGCAAGGGGGUGAAGGCGAGUGCAGGACGCAGGAUCUGGCCAGGGAGCAGGAAUGGAGAAACAGAGGCAUGGAGAUUCCUAGAUUUUAAGGCCAGAAGGGACCAUAUAAUGAUCCAAUCUGAUCUCUUGUGUAGCACAGGUCAGAGAAUUUCACCCAAUGAUUCUCGUGUCAAGCCUAUAUCUUCCAGCUGAGCUAGAGCACAUCUUUUAGAAUUAUAAGGGAAGCGACUUGUCCCU